CAAUUCUACAGUAACAGUUGGAAACUGCUGGGCUCAGAAAUUGAAGAGGAGGGAAAGGUUCCUGAUUAAUUUCAUGAGACCAGUAUUACUCUAAUAUCAAAUAAAGAGAAAGACACUGCAAAUGAAGAUUGCAGGCCAAUAUACCUUUGGUUCAACGCUGAUGCAAAACUCCUUAAAAGGAGCAUAUUAAAAGGAUUUUACUUCAUGACCAUAAGGGAUCUAUACUGGAAUAUAAGGAUGGUUCAGCAUUGAAAGUCUAUCAAACCUAACAGAAUGAAGGACAAAAACUACACUAUCACCUUAAUUGACAGAAAAUAGUUUGACAUAAUUCAAUAUACUUUCAUGAUAAAAGCAUUCCAUGAACUGGGAAUAGAGGAAACUACCUCAGUAUAAUAAUAUUCUUAAAUGACAAACUCAUAACAUCAUACUCCAUAGCAAUAGACUGAAAGCAUUUCCACUAAGAACCAAAACAAGUCAAAGAAGUCCACUGUUGCCACUUCUGUUCAAUGCAUUGCUGAAAGUUGUACCCAGAGCAAUCUGGCAAGGAAAGAAUAAAAAGAAUUCAAAGUGAAAAGGAAGAAGUAAAAUUAUUUCUGUUCACUGAUGAUCUUUUUUUUUUUUUCCCAGCUUUAGGGAGAUAUAGUUGAUAUAUUAAUUCAAAGUAUAUAUUCUCAAAGUAUACAACACAGUGAUUUAACAUAUGUAUAUAUGUAUACACUGGGAAAGAAUAUCCACAUUUAUUUUGCUGCUGCUGCUAAGUUGCUUAAGUCGUGUCCGACUCUGUGCAACCCCAGAGAGGGCAGCCCACCAGGCUCCCCCGUCCCUGGGAUUCUCCAGGCAAGAACACUGGAGUGGGUUGCCAUUUCCUUCUCCAACUACUCUCUUAGCAAAUUUCAAUUAUAGAUUACAUCAUUACCAACUAUAGUCAUUAUACAUCAUGUCCUUAGUCCUUAUUCAUUUUAUAACAAAGUCUGUAACUUUUACCAACUUUCCCUAUUUCCCACCAUCCAGCCCCUGGCAGCCACUUUCCUACUCUCUGGAUAUGAGCUCAACUUUUUUUUUUUUUUUUAAUAGAAAUGAUACCAUGCAGUAUUUGGUCAUCUUCUCUCUGGUUUCUUUAAUGCCUCCAAGCUCAUUCACACACAGUGAAAUAUUAUGCAUAAGUGUAUGUAUUUAUGUGUGUGUGUGCAUACAUAUAUACUUAUAUCAUG
ensembl:lncRNA